GAUGAACGCUGGCGGCGUGCCUAAUACAUGCAAGUCGAGCGAACAGACCAUGAGCUUGCUCCUUUGUCGUGAGCGGAGGACGGGUGAGAAACACGUGUAUAACCUACCUAUCAUACUGGGAUAACUUCGGGACACCGGCGCUAACACCGUAUAAUCUAUUGAACCGUAUUGUGCAAUAGUGAGAGACGGUGUUGCUGUCUCUAAUAGAUGGAUACGCGCCGCAUUAGCUAGUUGGUAAGUUAACGGCUUAGCAAGGCAACGAUGCGUUGCCGACCUGAGAGGGGGGUCGGCCACACUGGAAGUGAGACACGGUCCAGACUACUGCGGGAGGCAGCAGUAGCGAAUCUUCCGCAAUGGGCGAAAGCUUGACGGAGCAAGGCGGCGUGAGUGAUGAAGGUCUUCGGAUCGUAAAACUCUGUUAUGAGGGAAGAACAAAUGUGUAAGGAACUAUGCACGUAUUGACGGUACCUAAUAAGAAAGCAACGGCUAACUACGUG
rnacentral:rRNA from 1 species